AGUGAACGCUGGCGGUAGGCCUAACACAUGCAAGUCGAACGGCAGCACAGUAAGAGCUUGCUCUUACGGGUGGCGAGUGGCGGACGGGUGAGGAAUACAUCGGAAUCUACUUUUUCGUGGGGGAUAACGUAGGGAAACUUACGCUAAUACCGCAUACGACCUACGGGUGAAAGCAGGGGAUCUUCGGACCUUGCGCGAUUGAAUGAGCCGAUGUCGGAUUAGCUAGUUGGCGGGGUAAAGGCCCACCAAGGCGACGAUCCGUAGCUGGUCUGAGAGGAUGAUCAGCCACACUGGAACUGAGACACGGUCCAGACUCCUACGGGAGGCAGCAGUGGGGAAUAUUGGACAAUGGGCGCAAGCCUGAUCCAGCCAUACCGCGUGGGUGAAGAAGGCCUUCGGGUUGUAAAGCCCUUUUGUUGGGAAAGAAAAGCAGCAGGUUAAUACCCCGCUGCCCUGACGGUACCCAAAGAAUAAGCACCGGCUAACUUCGUG
rnacentral:rRNA from 1 species